rnacentral:lncRNA from 1 species
CUUAUACAAUUAUGAAAGUCUAUAUGCCAAUUACAGAUUUGAUUCUGUUAUUACAAACUUUUAACACAGGUUCGUUGUACCCUUUCCUAAUAAUUUGUUUCUAAACAUGAAAAACUAAGCGGUUGCCACUGCACAUUUUGAAAGUGAAAUAUAGCUGUUUAAGCAAUUUUCAUUGAAAAAUUACUAUUUAUAUCAAAAGUUUUCAGAUUUACAAAAGAUUAACUGUUAUCAAAAGAUUAAGAAAAUUUACAGCUUACACACAGAUAAAUUUACUCUCUCUGUGUUCUCUUCUUUGCCUAUGAACAUUUGUCUAUCCUAUUUAAGGGAAAUAACUUGUGCAAAUGGAUCUCUAGUAACAAAGUCAAUAAUAGAAUUGACAGAUAGACUUAUUUCAUACACAUGUGUAUAUGACUACAACUUGAGUACAAGUGUACAGUUUAAAGACAUUUGACAAAUUAAAAUAUGUUUAUAUAUUAAUGUUGUAGCUUUAAAAAAUGAGGUGAUUGUGAAUCUUUUAUUUAAAGGUUUAAAAUUGUUAUGUUUGUAUUUUAUUCUUAUUUUCAGUUUGAAGAAAAAGCUUCCUUUUUGAAAAAAUCCUGUCAUUUUUAGAGUAAUUGUACUUUAACUUUCAAAUUUAAGGCAUUCUUUCGAUAUCCUACACAGACUUUAGUAUGCUGGAAUGGUUGCCUUUUAAUCUUAAAAUUGUUGUUCAAUAUUGGGAUUGGUAUUAAGAAAUAUACAUGCUUCCUUUUAAUUUUGACAAUUUUCCAGUUUGUCAGUAGAAAGUCUUUUACUGACUUCUGAUGUAAUGCCUUUUCACACAUACAUUAAAGUAUGCAUAUUGAAGGUGUAUCUUUCACUCCUGCCAAAGCUGCUUAUUAAUAUCAAUUGUCAAGACUACUGAGUCACCCCACCAAAACAUUAGUAAAUUGUAACCAGAGGCCCAUUUAGAGGUUUUUUUAGGGGGCCCAGCCCCCUCUUUUGUGGAAAUGAUUUGGUUGAUUAUAUACAGAAUCACUGAAGCAUAACUGGAUUGGGGCCCCCUCUUAUGAAAAUUUCUAGAUCCGCCACUGGUAACAAACAUUUUAGUCAGUGUUAGUACGAUAAGAAGCAGAUUGUGUAUAAUAUAUAUCAAAUGGAUGAUGUAAGUGAAAGAAGAAAACAAAAUCAAAAGUUUGUUUUGAAAUCAUCUAUCAAACUAGUAAAAAUAAAUUUUAAAAAGAGAUUAUUAUAACUUUUCAUGCCCAAAAAAUGAUUGUUGAAAAAUAGUAAUACCUAGUACAAUAAGCUUUUUGGGGACAAACACAUUUUUUCAUACUUUGUGUGCAUUUUAAAAAUAUGUACAAUUUACAUGCUUUUGAACCUGCAGUUAAGUUACAGGUGCUUUAUUUUUAAUCUAAGCAUGAGCAGGUGCUGUUUAUAUUACAAGCUACAUGAAGUAGAUACUCAGUUGGAAAGUAGAUGAUAUGCUGCAUAAUUAUGAGGAGCCUGAUGGGGGGGGGGGGGGGGGGGGUCUCAUCACGAUUCACGAGUUGAUGUUUUGUCAAUCACGAAUCACAGAAAAUAAAUUUCCAUGAUCAAGGAUCACGAAAAUAUAAAAAAAAAAUCAUCUGUAGAAAAACGGAUCAUGAAGAAUGCAAAUAACCCAUCAGGCCCCUCAAUUAUUAGUUUUAUGAAGAAGUAUAAUUGAUAAUCAUAAUAUUAUGUAUUGAUAUACAAAUCACAUGUGCAAUAUAGGGAAAUACUGUAAAUUCAGAAAUUAUUGCAAUCAUAUAUUAUUGCAAUUUUUGAAAAAUAAACAAAUAUGCAAAUUUUUUAUUGCGAUUUCAAUAAAAUCUGCAUACAGAUGAAUGUAUCCUAUAUCCAAAUGCAAGUUCUUAUUAUUGCGAUACUCAUCUGGUUGUAUUAUUUACAAUAAUACAGGCCACACAAUAAUUUCUGCAUUUACAGUAAUGUACUGUAACUAAAGAGAAUAUUUUUGUAAAGUUACAAUGGGUUUUAUGUAAAUACUUUUUUUGAAUUUUUUUUAUGUUUAGUUACUUCAUUGUAUACAAUCUGUG